rnacentral:rRNA from 1 species
GACGAACGCUGGCGGCGUGCCUAAUACAUGCAAGUCGAACGAGAGCAACCGGUGCUUGCCCUGGUCAAUCUAGUGGCGAACGGGUGAGUAACACGUGGGUAACCUGCCCAUCAGAGGGGGAUAACAUCCGGAAACGGAUGCUAAAACCGCAUAGGUCUUCGAACCGCAUGGUUUGAAGAGGAAAAGAGGCGCAAGCUUCUGCUGAUGGAUGGACCCGCGGUGCAUUAGCUAGUUGGUGAGGUAACGGCUCACCAAGGCCGUGAUGCAUAGCCGACCUGAGAGGGUGAUCGGCCACAUUGGAACUGAGACACGGCCCAAACUCCUACGGGAGGCAGCAGUAGGGAAUCUUCCGCAAAGGACGCAAGUCUGACGGAGCAACGCCGCGUGAGUGAAGAAGGUUUUCGGAUCGUAAAACUCUGUUGUUAGAGAAGAACAAGUGCUAGAGUAACUGUUAGCGCCUUGACGGUAUCUAACCAGAAAGCCACGGCUAACUACGUG